rnacentral:rRNA from 1 species
AAAAAAAGGGAUUCCCCUAGUAACGGCGAGUGAAGAGGGAAGAGCCCAAGAUUGAAAGCUGGCGUCUUCGGCGUCCGCAUUGUAAUCUCAAGAAGUGUUUUCCGCUUCGGACCAAGCCUAAGUCCCUUGGAAAAGGGCAUCAUAGAGGGUGAUAAUCCCGUACAUGGCUUGGAGCGCCCGAAGCUUUGUGAUACGCUUUCUAAGAGUCGAGUUGUUUGGGAAUGCAGCUCAAAAUGGGUGGUAAAUGCCAUCUAAGGCUAAAUAUUGGGGAGAGACCGAUAGCGAACAAGUACAGUGAUGGAAAGAUGAAAAGAACUUUGAAAAGAGAGUUAAACAGUACGUGAAAUUGCCAAAAGGGAAGGGUAGGAGGUCAGAGAUGCGUCCUGGGAUUCAGCCUUGCUUUUGCUUGGUGUUUUUCCCAGAUUGCAGGCCAACGUCGGUUUUGGGCGCUGGAGAAGGGUGGAAGGAACGUGGCACCUCUCGGGGUGUGUUAUAGCCUUCUACUGGAUACAGUGACCGAGACCGAGGACAGCAGCGUACUCGCAAGAGCGGGCCUUCGGGCACCUUUACGCUUAGGGCGUUGGCAUAAUGGCCCUCUACCACCCGUCUUGAAACACGGGACCAAAA